rnacentral:rRNA from 1 species
CCUACGGUGGCAGCAGUGAGGAAUAUUGGUCAAUGGACGAGAGUCUGAAACAGCCAAGUAGCGUGAAGGAUGACUGCCCUAUGGGUUGUAAACUUUUUUUUUUAAGGAAUUAAACCAGGCACGUGUGCCUUUUUGCAUGUUAUUUAUGAAUAAGGAUCGGCCAACUCCGUGCCAGCAGCCGCGGUAAUACGGAGGAUCCGAGCGUUAUCCGGAUUUAUUGGGUUUAAAGGGAGCGUAGAUGGGUUGUUAAGUCAGUUGUGAAAGUUUGCGGCUCAACCGUAAAAUUGCAAUUGAUACUGGCAGUCUUGAGUACAGUUGAGGUAGGCGGAAUUCGUGGUGUAGCGGUGAAAUGCUUAGAUAUCACGAAGAACCCCGAUUGCGAAGGCAGCUUACUAAACUGUGACUGACAUUGAUGCUCGAAAGUGUGGGUAUCAAACAGGAUUAGAUACCCCAGUAGUC